AUGCUAAGAGGAAUGGAAGGCUGCUCGGGAAACUAAAUAAAUAAAGGGUGACCGUGAAGUUCAAGAACAGGUUUGAAGUUCUCAUCUAAAAGAUUGGAGCAAAGCACAGCAAUAAAUGUGCAGUUCUUGGAAAUUGUUAAUGACUGACAAAGGUUCUGCUCGGAGACUGAUACUCGGCAUUGCCUUCAUAUCUGCAGAAAGGGGUCAGCUUGACCGGGAAGAAUGAAGAGUGGAUUAGGGAGAUUGCACAGAAAAAUCUAGCAAAACUUCAGGCUUUAGUAAAGCUCCUCUGUGGCGUGAUUGCAACCAUUCAAACUAGGAUGAAUAUGUAUCUCCACGUAAUUGAAAGCUGGUUUAGCUACAGAUUAAUAAACAGAAGGACCUGCACAGUUUCCAGAGGAGAUUUUAAAACUCAGCAUAAAGACAUUUGCUCUUAUUUUCAUAUCAGACUUCCCCCCACUACUUCUGUCUCCCUGCAGACAAAAGGUAUGCAUAAUGAAAGUGAAGUUCCUAAGUAA
rnacentral:lncRNA from 1 species